GACAGGGGAUGCAAGCGUUACUCGGAAUUACUGGGCGUAAAGCGUCUGCAGGUGUCCCGUAAAGUCUGGUGUUAAAACACGAAGCUCAACUUCGUGUAUGUGCCGGAAACUCAUGGGAUUGAGUCACUCAGAGGCAUCUGGAAUGUCGUGUGGAGGGGUAAAAUCCGUAGAUCCACGAUGGAACGCCAAAAGCGAAGGCAGGAUGCUGGGAAUGUACUGACACUCAGAGACGAAAGCGUGGGGAGCAAAGGGG
rnacentral:rRNA from 1 species